UGCAAGUCGAACGGAAAGGCCCUGCUUUUGUGGGGUGCUCGAGUGGCGAACGGGUGAGUAACACGUGAGUAACCUGCCCUUGACUUUGGGAUAACUUCAGGAAACUGGGGCCAAUACCGGAUAGGAGCUCCUGCUGCAUGGUGGGGGUUGGAAAGUUUCGGCGGUUGGGGAUGGACUCGCGGCUUAUCAGCUUGUUGGUGGGGUAGUGGCUUACCAAGGCUUUGACGGGUAGCCGGCCUGAGAGGGUGACCGGCCACAUUGGGACUGAGAUACGGCCCAGACUCCUACGGGAGGCAGCAGUGGGGAAUAUUGCACAAUGGGCGGAAGCCUGAUGCAGCAACGCCGCGUGCGGGAUGACGGCCUUCGGGUUGUAAACCGCUUUCGCCUGUGACGAAGCGUGAGUGACGGUAAUGGGUAAAGAAGCACCGGCUAACUACGUGCCAGCAGCCGCGGUGAUACGUAGGGUGCGAGCGUUGUCCGGAUUUAUUGGGCGUAAAGGGCUCGUAGGUGGUUGAUCGCGUCGGAAGUGUAAUCUUGGGGCUUAACCCUGAGCGUGCUUUCGAUACGGGUUGACUUGAGGAAGGUAGGGGAGAAUGGAAUUCCUGGUGGAGCGGUGGAAUGCGCAGAUAUCAGGAGGAACACCAGUGGCGAAGGCGGUUCUCUGGGCCUUUCCUGACGCUGAGGAGCGAAAGCGUGGGGAGCGAACAGGCUUAGAUACCCUGGUAGUCCACGCUGUAAACGGUGGGUACUAGGUGUGGGGUCCAUUCCACGGGUUCCGUGCCGUAGCUAACGCUUUAAGUACCCCGCCUGGGGAGUACGGCCGCAAGGCUAAGACUCAAAGGAAUUGACGGGGCCCCGCACAAGCGGCGGAGCAUGCGGAUUAAUUCGAUGCAACGCGUAGAACCUUACCUGGGUUUGACAUGG
rnacentral:rRNA from 1 species